UACGGAGGGAGCUAGCGUUGUUCGGAAUUACUGGGCGUAAAGCGCACGUAGGCGGCUUUGUAAGUUAGAGGUGAAAGCCCGGGGCUCAACCCCGGAAUUGCCUUUAAGACUGCAUCGCUUGAAUCCGGGAGAGGUGAGUGGAAUUCCGAGUGUAGAGGUGAAAUUCGUAGAUAUUCGGAAGAACACCAGUGGCGAAGGCGGCUCACUGGACCGGCAUUGACGCUGAGGUGCGGAAGCGUGGGGAGCAAACAGG
rnacentral:rRNA from 1 species